UGGGGAAUUUUGCACAAUGGGGGAAACCCUGAUGCAGCGACGCCGCGUGAUUUAGAAGGCCUUCGGGUUGUAAAAAUCUUUUUUACGGGAUGAAAAUGACAGUACCGUAAGAAUAAGGUCCGGCUAAAUACGUGCCAGCAGCCGCGGUAAUACGUAUGGACCGAGCGUUGUCCGGAAUCAUUGGGCGUAAAGGGUACGUAGGCGGCCUAGUAAGUUAGAAGUGAAAUAAUAUAGCUCAACUAUAUAAAGCUUUUAAAACUGCUAGGCUUGAGAGAUGGAAGGGAAAGUGGAAUUCCUAGUGUAGCGGUGAAAUGCGCAGAUAUUAGGAAGAAUACCGGGGGCGAAGGCGACUUUCUGGUCAUCAUCUGACGCUGAGGUACGAAAGCGUGGGUAGCAAACAGG
rnacentral:rRNA from 1 species